GGGGGAGCGUGGGGAGCCCGGAGCCCCCGGUCCCGCUGGAUUUGCCGGACCCCCAGGCGCUGAUGGACAACCGGGUGCCAAAGGCGAGCAGGGAGAGCCUGGCCAGAAGGGUGACGCCGGUGCCCCUGGUCCCCAAGGUCCCUCUGGAGCCCCUGGCCCUCAGGGUCCAACUGGUGUAACUGGUCCCAAAGGAGCCCGGG